UUUUGCUGUAGGUCCCUGCAUACUUGAGGCCUUCUGGAGGGUGUGCUGAGCUUCCUCCAGUCUUGCUCUGGUAGCUUGAUUCAAAGAAGGAAGAACUAUCAGGAAGCAAUUGAGAGUUUGGAUGACCAUGAGGAGAGGUACCUGAGAGAAGAGGGUGACUGCAGAGCAGCCUGUGACCUCAGUGAUCAUAGCUUACUCCCAUGAACCUGCACUGGACCAGUCUGGUGGUCAUGGCAGGUUCUGUCAGUGACCACGAGUCAAGGCAAGAUAACCAAUCAGACCUCAGGACUGUCAGCAAAAGUAGAAGACAAGACUGGAAAAUCUGUCAAACCUACAGCAUAGCUCAGGGCAGGUCUACAUGCCCAGAAGUGGCACCUAUGGGCCAGUGGCUGAGGGUCAGUUUGGUCAUUGCCAGAGAUUACCCUUGGACCAGAUGAAGAUGGUCAAGACUAUUAAGAUUUAUUAGUGCACUCAGGACUCUGACAACUACUAUUUUCAUAACACUUGCUUUUCCACUGAAUUAAAGGAGUAAUGCUCCAUUCCCACCCUAAAUCUCAAUCUAGACUGGAAAGGUUCCUGCAAAAUGUUGUCAUCUACUAUAUUCUGUUUGUUUUCUUAGAUGGCUUCCAGGGUCCAAACUGUUUCUUAAGAAAUUCUGUUCUUUGGCAGGCUCUUUUGAACAACCUUGCCCUCAGCUUCUGGCAGGUGUUUUUCAGGGGUUUCUCUUUGGCUUCCUCACCUUUUGGCUUCCUCACCUUUAUCCCUUCUCUUCAAGCAGCAGAAUCCACACACAUUCAACUUCUCUUUUGAUCGAGGUGAUUCACAGAUCUUAUCCUAUUUAGGUCUCUUUUCCCUGCUUCAAGUCAAAUUCUAGCAUGUCUUUCUUGCAUCAUCUUGUGCUUGUCUAUCUGUCAGAUUAAGCAUAACACAAUGAAAAAGGCAUCCAGUCUAUUACCAAAAGGAUGUUACUGCUGAAAUAGCAGGAUAUAGCAAGUGCACAUCACUGUCUCGCCUGCCUCUGUAUCCAUGAAACCAUGGUAUGGAUUAAACUUGCUGUAAAACGUCUUGUUCCUUCCAUUCACAUAGUUAAUAUUAAAAUCCAGAUUUAGUCUGUCUCUUGCCAGUGUAAUACACUUUUCUCAGUGCUCUCAAAAAUAAACUUUC
ensembl:lncRNA